CGGACGGGUGAGUAAUGUCUGGGAAACUGCCUGAUGGAGGGGGAUAACUACUGGAAACGGUAGCUAAUACCGCAUAACGUCGCAAGACCAAAGAGGGGGACCUUCGGGCCUCUUGCCAUCGGAUGUGCCCAGAUGGGAUUAGCUAGUAGGUGGGGUAACGGUUCACCUAGGCGACGAUCCCUAGCUGGUCUGAGAGGAUGACCAGCCACACUGGAACUGAGACACGGUCCAG
rnacentral:rRNA from 1 species